rnacentral:rRNA from 1 species
UAAGGAAUAUUGGGCAAUGGACGAAAGUCUGACCCAGCCAUGCCGCGUGCAGGAUGAAGGCCUUAUGGGUUGUAAACUGCUUUUAUACGGGAAAAAACCCUUCGACGUGUUGAAGGCUGAUGGUACCGUAAGAAUAAGGAUCGGCUAACUCCGUGCCAGCAGCCGCGGUAAUACGGAGGAUCCAAGCGUUAUCCGGAUUUAUUGGGUUUAAAGGGUGCGUAGGCGGAAUUGUAAGUCAGUGGUGAAAUCCUACAGCUUAACUGUAGAACGGCCAUUGAUACUGCAAAUCUUGAGUACAUUUGAAGUGGGCGGAAUGUGUCAUGUAGCGGUGAAAUGCUUAGAUAUGACACAGAACACCGAUUGCGAAGGCAGCUCACUAAACUGUAACUGACGCUGAGGCACGAAAGCGUGGGGAGCAAACA